rnacentral:misc_RNA from 1 species
UCUCCGUUGGUGAACCAUCGGAGGGAUCAUUACAGAGUUUACAACUCACAACCCAUCGUGAACAUACCUUGGUUGCUUCGGCGUGCAAACGGCUCCGGCCGGGCGCCGCCGAAGACCCUAAACUCUUGUUUUUUAUGUGGAAUUAUGAGUAAAUCUUGAAAUAAAUCAAAACCUUCAACAAAGGAUCUCUUGGCUCUGGAAUCGAUGAAGAACGCAGC